rnacentral:rRNA from 1 species
CAAUAGCGUAUAUUAAAGUUGUUGCAGUUAAAACGCUCGUAGUCGGAUUUCGGGGCGGCUUCGCCGGUCUGCCGAUGGGUAUGCACUGGCGAGGGCGUCCUUCCUUCCGGAGACUGGCCCUACUCUUAACUGAGCGGGGUCGGGAGUCGGAUCGUUUACUUUGAAAAAAUCAGAGUGUUUCAAGCAGGCAUAUCGUUCUUGCAUGGAUUAGCAUGGGAUAAUGAAAUAGGACUUUGGUGCUAUUUUGUUGGUUUCGAACACCGAAGUAAUGAUUAACAGGGACAGUCAGGGGCACUCGUAUUCCGCCGAGAGAGGUGAAAUUCUCAGACCAGCGGAAGACGAACUACUGCGAAAGCAUUUGCCAGGGAUGUUUUCACUGAUCAAGAACGAAAGUUAGGGGAUCGAAGACGAUCAGAUACCGU